rnacentral:rRNA from 1 species
AGAUUGAACGCUGGCGGCAUGCCUUACACAUGCAAGUCGAACGGUAGAGUAGCAAUACUUGAGAGUGGCGAACGGGUGAGUAAUAUAUCGGAACGUGCCCAGUCGUGGGGGAUAACGUAGAGAAAUUUACGCUAAUACCGCAUACGAUCUAAGGAUGAAAGCGGGGGACCGUAAGGCCUCGCGCGAUUGGAGCGGCUGAUAUCAGAUUAGGUUGUUGGUGAGGUAAAAGCUCACCAAGCCGACGAUCUGUAGCUGGUUUGAGAGAACGACCAGCCACACUGGGACUGAGACACGGCCCAGACUCCGUACGGGAGGCAGCAGUGGGGAAUUUGGACAAUGGGCGAAAGCCUGAUCCGGCAAUGCCGCGUGCAGGAAGAAGGCCUUCGGGUUGUAAACUGCUUUUGUACGGAACGAAACGUCUGCUUUAAUACUAGGUAGGACUAAGUG